GUAGGUGGCAAGCGUUGCCCGGAAUUAUUGGGCGUAAAGCGCGCGCAGGUGGUUCUUUAAGUCUGAUGUGAAAGCCCCCGGCUCAACCGGGGAGGGUCAUUGGAAACUGGGGAACUUGAGUGCAGGAGAGGAAAGUGGAAUUCCACGUGUAGCGGUGAAAUGCGUAGAUAUGUGGAGGAACACCAGUGGCGAAGGCGACUUUCUGGCCUGUAACUGACACUGAGGCGCGAAAGCGUGGGGAGCAAACAGGGAUUAGAUACCCUGGUAGUCCACGCCGUAAACGAUGAGUGCUAAGUGUUGGGGGGGUUUCCCGCCCCUCAGUGCUGCAGCUAACGCAUUAAGCACUCCGCCUGGGGAGUACGGUCGCAAGACUG
rnacentral:rRNA from 1 species